rnacentral:rRNA from 1 species
CCUACGGGUGGCAGCAGUGGGGAAUAUUGGACAAUGGGCGAAAGCCUGAUCCAGCCAUGCCGCGUGUGUGAAGAAGGCCUUCGGGUUGUAAAGCACUUUCAGUGGGGAAGAAAGCCUUGGGGCUAAUACCCUCGAGGAAGGACAUCACUCACAGAAGAAGCACCGGCUAACUCCGUGCCAGCAGCCGCGGUAAUACGGAGGGUGCGAGCGUUAAUCGGAAUUACUGGGCGUAAAGCGCGCGUAGGCGGUCUGAUAAGCCGGUUGUGAAAGCCCCGGGCUCAACCUGGGAACGGCAUCCGGAACGGUCAGGCUAGAGUGCAGGAGAGGAAGGUAGAAUCCCCGGUGUAGCGGUGAAAUGCGUAGAGAUCGGGAGGAAUACCAGUGGCGAAGGCGGCCUUCUGGACUGACACUGACGCUGAGGUGCGAAAGCGUGGGUAGCAAACAGGAUUAGAUACCCUGGUAGUC